AUUUGUAGCCAAUCUGAGAAAAGCCAAUCCUUUGCUUUUGCAAAAUGUUUCAUGCGUUUACAUGUUAGCCGAUGUCAUGUCUGUAGGUGAAUGGUCGUGAACUUUCGCCUGUUUUCGAACGACAGCGGCUCUGCCAGCGUCCGGAGCAACGCAGGAACUCGAAAUCUGCAGAGGUCGAAGCGGAGCAUCGCAACUGUGCGUCGGAGAGCGUUGAUGAAUCGGUAGCAGCGGCGACUUCCUAGGGCGCAGCGUCAAGGGCAAGAAGAUGGCGGUGAAGGGUGGUAUGCCGGGUACCGCUGUGCUGAUCUCCGCCGGAUGGUUGACGGUCGUCUACUGGGGUUGGCUCAAGAUUGCCCGGAACGACAUGUUCGUGCCUGCCGAGGAAAGGAAGCCUCUGCCACACGAACUGCUUUACAACUACUUCACGACAGGCCGGUGGAACGGCAACUCCGAGCCGGCAGAGCCGGAUGGCGACAGUAAAGGAACGUAGGAAGUGUGUUA